AGGAUUAACGCUGGCGGCGUGCCUAACACAUGCAAGUCGAACGAGGUAGCAAUACCUAGUGGCAGACGGGUGAGUAGCGCGUGGUCAACCUACCGUUGAGUGGGGGAUAACUAGCCGAAAGGUUAGCUAAUACCGCAUACGUCUCCGAGGGGCAUCCCUUGGUGAUAAAAGGAGCAAUCCGCUCGAUGACGGGACCGCGUCCCAUUAGCUAGUUGGUGGGGUAACGGCCUACCAAGGCAUCGAUGGGUAGCUGGUUUGAGAGAGCGACCAGCCACACUGGGACUGAGAUACGGCCCAGACUCCUACGGGAGGCAGCAGUGAGGAAUUUUCCGCAAUGGGCGAAAGCCUGACGGAGCGACGCCGCGUGUGGGAAGAAGGCCUUCGGGUCGUAAACCACUGUCGAAGGGGAAGAUAUUGACGGUACCCUUGGAGGAAGCCCGGCUAACUACGUGCCAGCAGCCGC
rnacentral:rRNA from 1 species